rnacentral:lncRNA from 1 species
ACGCUGGGAGAAGUUCCCUGAGAAUUUCUCCAGGCAGGGGAGCUGCCCCAGCCCUGCUGCCGCCGCCAGCCCCGAGCUCCUCCCGCAGCCGAGGGCUCAGCACGGGACAGGGUCACCGCGACCCCCCCACGCACCCCCCUCACCGCCCUCUCCCUCCCCAGGGCCACCUUCCCCCUGCACCCCGCUGCCUCCUUCAGCACCAGAAGCUCAGUGCUUGAGCUGGAGCCAGUGCCGAGCCCCGUGCGGAGGAUGCUGCUCAUCAAAACCAUCGAGACGAGGGACGGGCAGCAGGUGGUGACGGAGUCGCACACGGAGCGAGCGGAGCCCAAGUGAGGGGGGGCUCCCGGUGCCCCCCCCCGGUGCUGCCCCCGCCGACGGAGGCCAGAGCGGACCCCUUGGACUCCCCGGU